CUUAACACAUGCAAGUCGAGGGGCAGCAUGGUCUUAGCUUGCUAAGGCCGAUGGCGACCGGCGCACGGGUGAGUAACACGUAUCCAACCUGCCGUCUACUCUUGGACAGCCUUCUGAAAGGAAGAUUAAUACAAGAUGGCAUCAUGAGUCCGCAUGUUCACAUGAUUAAAGGUAUUCCGGUAGACGAUGGGGAUGCGUUCCAUUAGAUAGUAGGCGGGGUAACGGCCCACCUAGUCUUCGAUGGAUAGGGGUUCUGAGAGGAAGGUCCCCCACAUUGGAACUGAGACACGGUCCAAACUCCUACGGGAGGCAGCAGUGAGGAAUAUUGGUCAAUGGGCGAGAGCCUGAACCAGCCAAGUAGCGUGAAGGAUGACUGCCCUAUGGGUUGUAAACUUCUUUUAUAAAGGAAUAAAGUCGGGUAUGGAUACCCGUUUGCAUGUACUUUAUGAAUAAGGAUCGGCUAACUCCGUGCCAGCAGCCGCGGUAAUACGGAGGAUCCGAGCGUUAUCCGGAUUUAUUGGGUUUAAAGGGAGCGUAGAUGGAUGUUUAAGUCAGUUGUGAAAGUUUGCGGCUCAACCGUAAAAUUGCAGUUGAUACUGGAUAUCUUGAGUGCAGUUGAGGUAGGCGGAAUUCGUGGUGUAGCGGUGAAAUGCUUAGAUAUCACGAAGAACUCCGAUUGCGAAGGCAGCCUGCUAAGCUGCAACUGACAUUGAGGCUCGAAAGUGUGGGUAUCAAACAGGAUUAGAUACCCUGGUAGUCCACACGGUAAACGAUGAAUACUCGCUGUUUGCGAUAUACAGCAAGCGGCCAAGCGAAAGCGUUAAGUAUUCCACCUGGGGAGUACGCCGGCAACGGUGAAACUCAAAGGAAUUGAUGGGGGCCCGCACAAGCGGAGGAACAUGUGGUUUAAUUCGAUGAUACGCGAGGAACCUUACCCGGGCUUAAAUUGCAGAUGAAUUACGGUGAAAGCCGUAAGCCGCAAGGCAUCUGUGAAGGUGCUGCAUGGUUGUCGUCAGCUCGUGCCGUGAGGUGUCGGCUUAAGUGCCAUAACGAGCGCAACCCUUGUUGUCAGUUACUAACAGGUUCCGCUGAGGACUCUGACAAGACUGCCAUCGUAAGAUGUGAGGAAGGUGGGGAUGACGUCAAAUCAGCACGGCCCUUACGUCCGGGGCUACACACGUGUUACAAUGGGGGGUACAGAGGGCCGCUACCACGCGAGUGGAUGCCAAUCCCCAAAACCUCUCUCAGUUCGGACUGGAGUCUGCAACCCGACUCCACGAAGCUGGAUUCGCUAGUAAUCGCGCAUCAGCCACGGCGCGGUGAAUACGUUCCCGGGCCUUGUACACACCGCCCGUCAAGCCAUGGGAGCCGGGGGUACCUGAAGUGCGUAACCGCGAGGAGCGCCCUAGGGUAAAACUGGUGACUGGGGCUAAG
rnacentral:rRNA from 1 species